GUUGAACGCUGGCGGCAUGCUUUACACAUGCAAGUCGAACGGUAACAGGCCGCAAGGUGCUGACGAGUGGCGAACGGGUGAGUAAUGCAUCGGAACGUGCCCAGUCGUGGGGGAUAACGCAGCGAAAGCUGUGCUAAUACCGCAUACGAUCUAUGGAUGAAAGCGGGGGACCGUAAGGCCUCGCGCGAUUGGAGCGGCCGAUGUCAGAUUAGCUAGUUGGUGGGGUAAAGGCCCACCAAGGCGACGAUCUGUAGCUGGUCUGAGAGGACGACCAGCCACACUGGGACUGAGAAACGGCCCAGACUCCUACGGGAGGCAGCAGUGGGGAAUUUUGGACAAUGGGCGCAAGCCUGAUCCAGCAAUGCCGCGUGCAGGAAGAAGGCCUUCGGGUUGUAAACUGCUUUUGUACGGAACGAAACGGUCUGGGUUAAUACCCUGGGCUAAUGACGGUACCGUAAGAAUAAGCACCGGCUAACUACGUGCCAGCCGCCGCAGUAA
rnacentral:rRNA from 1 species